UCUACCAAGUUUAUGGUUAAAUCCAACCAAAAUCCCGAUCAUUACAACGUUUGAAAGCCCAAUUUACACAAAAAACCCAAAACUACCCACUCCCGAUAAAGCUUUUCUUCUUCUCUGCCUCCUCCUCCAUGUUGAAGCCAUUUUCUCUGCCUCUCUCAAUUCUCAAAACCCCUAAACUAUAGCCCAUCAUCGCUCUCUCACUCCUUCAGCAUCCCAACACCGUCAUAUACCGUGGUUAUUCUUUGCUUAGGGAUCCCCAGUACAACAAAGGACUUGUUUUCUCUGAGAAAGAGAGGGAUGCUCAUUACGUGCACAGUCUUCUGCCUCCAAUAAUUUUGUCUCAACAACUUCAGGAGAAGAAAUUGAUGUAGAACAUCUGACAAUAUCAAGUCCCACUGCAAAAGUACAUUGCCUUGAUGGAGCUUCAAGUAGGACUUAGGAGUUUCACUAUCGUUUCUCAAUGUUGAUGAGCUUGAGCUUUUACAAGAGUAUGUUGAUCGUGAUAUUCAUAUUAAAGCUAAUAAGGACAAUGUAAUCAUUACUAUCAUGUAAGCUUCUUGAGGAUCAAUAACUAUAUUCUCUUAAACCCACAACCUUCAGAAAAACCUUGAACCAAAUCUGCUUUAGUUAUAACUUAUAAGAUUUCAAUUAUCAUUUUUUCUAAA